rnacentral:rRNA from 1 species
UAGGGAAUAUUGGACAAUGGGCGAAAGCCUGAUCCAGCCAUGCCGCGUGUGUGAAGAAGGUCUUCGGAUUGUAAAGCACUUUAAGUUGGGAGGAAGGGCAGUUACCUAAUACGUGAUUGUUUUGACGUUACCGACAGAAUAAGCACCGGCUAACUCUGUGCCAGCAGCCGCGGUAAUACAGAGGGUGCAAGCGUUAAUCGGAAUUACUGGGCGUAAAGCGCGCGUAGGUGGUUUGUUAAGUUGGAUGUGAAAUCCCCGGGCUCAACCUGGGAACUGCAUUCAAAACUGACUGACUAGAGUAUGGUAGAGGGUGGUGGAAUUUCCUGUGUAGCGGUGAAAUGCGUAGAUAUAGGAAGGAACACCAGUGGCGAAGGCGACCACCUGGACUAAUACUGACACUGAGGUGCGAAAGCGUGGGGAGCAAACAGGAUUAGAUACCCCCGUAGUCCCUGAGCGGGCUGGCAAGGCGCAU